rnacentral:rRNA from 1 species
GACGAACGCUGGCGGCGUGCCUAAUACAUGCAAGUAGAACGCAGUUGCGAACGGGUGAGUAACGCGUAGGUAACCUGCCUCAUAGCGGGGGAUAACUAUUGGAAACGAUAGCUAAUACCGCAUACUGUGAGAUGGACCUGCGUUGUAUUAGCUAGUUGGUGAGGUAAAGGCUCACCAAGGCGACGAUACAUAGCCGACCUGAGAGGGUGAUCCGCCACCCGGGGCGUGAGACAAGGACCCGAACCCUCAGGGAGGCAGCAGUUGGGACUCUUCGGCAAUGGUCGCAAGUCUGACAGUGCAACGCGGCCACAGUGGAGAAGGUUUUCGAGUAAUACAGUUCUGUUGUUAGAGAAGCGGUAACUAACCAGAAAGGCACGGCUAACUCCGAGACAGCAGCCGCGGUAAUUC